CACGUAGGGCGCAAGCGUUGUCCGGAAUUAUUGGGCGUAAAGAGCUCGUAGGCGGUCUGUUGCGUCCGCUGUGAAAACUCGGGGCUUAACCCCGAGCCUGCAGUGGAUACGGGCAGACUAGAGGUAGGUAGGGGAGAAUGGAAUUCCCGGUGUAGCGGUGAAAUGCGCAGAUAUCUGGAGGAAUACCGGUGGCGAAGGCGGCAUCCUGGACCGACAUUGACGCUGAGGAGCGAAAGCUAGGGGAGCAAACGGG
rnacentral:rRNA from 1 species